rnacentral:tRNA from 1 species
AGGGAUAUAGUUCAAUGGUAGAAUCGCGGUCUCCAAAACCGUUGAUGUGGGUUCAAAUCCUACUAUCCCUG